GGCAGGUCUGAAGGCAGUGAGAUAUCUCAACCGAUGGUUCACAGUCACGUUACAGAAUGAAAUCCUUGUUAUAUUCUUUUCCCCCAUCUCAUUACUGCACUUGACUACUCUUUA
rnacentral:Y_RNA from 1 species